rnacentral:rRNA from 1 species
UACGAAGGGGGGCUAGCGUUGCUCGGAAUGACUGGGCGUAAAGGGCGCGUAGGCGGUUUGUACAGUCAGAUGUGAAAUUCCUGGGCUUAACCUGGGGGGCUGCAUUUGAUACGUGCAGACUUGAGUGAGGAAGAGGGUUGUGGAAUUCCCAGUGUAGAGGUGAAAUUCGUAGAUAUUGGGAAGAACACCGGUGGCGAAGGCGGCAACCUGGUCCUUGACUGACGCUGAGGCGCGAAAGCGUGGGGGAGCAAACAGG